CCCCCAACCCGGUGAGGAACCUGAGAGUGGAGGCUCAGACCAACAGCUCCAUCGCCCUGAGCUGGGAGGUCCCCGAUGGCCCAGACCCACAGAACUCCACCUACUGGGUUCAGUGCGCUGGAGACGGUGGCAGAACAGAGACUCGAACCACAAGAGACACCAACGUCACCGUGGAUGGACUUGGACCCGGGUCAUUGUAUACGUUUUCUGUGUGGGUGGAGAAAGAUGGAGUAAAUAGCUCUGUGGAGACUGUCACGAGUGCCACAGCUCCCAACCCAGUGAGGAACCUGAGAGUGGAGGCUCAGACCAACAGCUCCAUCGCCCUGAGCUGGGAGGUCCCCGAUGGCCCAGACCCACAGAACUCCACCUACUGGGUUCAGUGCGCUGGAGACGGUGGCAGAACAGAGACUCGAACCACAAGAGACACCAACGUCACCGUGGAUGGACUUGGACCCGGGUCAU
rnacentral:sRNA from 1 species